rfam:Picea glauca, whole genome shotgun sequence.
AUGUAAUGUAAUUCCUACAACGUUAAUGCACCAAAUCAUGUUAGAACUCCAUAGUUAAGCAUGCUUAGGAUAGAGUAGUAUUGGGAUGGGUGACCUUCCGAGAAGUAUUAAUGUUUUACAUG